GACGAACCGUGCGAACGUUGUUCGGAAUCACUGGGCUUAAAGGGCGCGUAGGCGGGUCAGCAAGUCCGGGGUGAAAUCUUUCGGCUCAACCGGAAAAGUGCCUUGGAUACUGCUGGUCUCGAGGGAGGUAGGGGUUUGUGGAACUUCUGGUGGAGCGGUGAAAUGCGUUGAUAUCAGAAGGAACGCCGGUGGCGAAAGCGACGAACUGGACCUCUUCUGGCGCUGAGGCGCGAAAGCUAGGGGAGCAAACGGG
rnacentral:rRNA from 1 species